AGCUCGUACAGCUCCAUCUCCUCGGUUCCCAGCACUUUCUUCCGCCGAAGCGCUAGCUUCUGCAGCGUCGCCGCCUCCAGCCCUGUAGAUGUCCCGAGUGCAGCACCGGCUGCCGCCAUCAGCGUAGCCUGAAAAAGUACAGCAUCUGCACCUGAUUCUAUCGCUGCCUCAGCUGCUGACUGCACCUCUGCAGCCACCAAUGUCUCACUGCCAAGGCUGCAGCCUGGGGGAGCCUUCACAUCUAGCUGCCACCACCUCAGCCACCUCCACACCUCCAGCAUUAGGUGAUGGAGCCCUUCUCCACCUGAAAAGGCAGAGGACAUGUCAGAGGAAAUAUCAUGGAGGGAUCUCAGUGAUGCCAAUGUACAAUCAGCAUCUACGUCACUAGGUUCAAUGUGGGUUAUCUCAAGUGUGGUUAAAAAAAAAAAAAAUGUGUUCCCUGAGCCACUUGGAGGAGAACAACUUUGAAACACCUGGAACAAAGAGAUUUUAUGAGGGCCUUGCCCAAAAAGACAUGCUUUAUAAAAGAAAAAGUAAGUAUAUUAUUGGCCAAAUAGAAAACCAUAGAAAGAGCCGUUCCACAAAGAGGCCUGCACAUCAUAUAACACUCCCUCGAUUUCCAUUGAAGAGGAGAUGGAGUCAGCUGGCUCUGCCCACUUUUUUCACAACACCACAACAAAGGCCAGGCAAUAAAGGCCAGAAGGUAAAUAAAAAACAUAUCUAGGGCUUCUCUAAGUUUAUUUCACCUGAUUUACACAUCAGAUAUUAACUCACCUAUGAAUUCUGCUCCACAGAGUGAUUAUUUGAACACAUUUAGAAUGUCUGAGGAGACAGAAAAUGCUGCCUCAUUUAGGAAAACACAUGAGGCUGAGAUAGAGACCAUCACUUGUAGUUCUACAACACUGGAUGUAUUCUGCGUGCUAGAAGACAGCAAGUGUAAAAUGAGCCCUGAACCUCAUGAUGAUGCCAGCAGUAUAGAGAACAAAGCAAGUGAAUAUUUGAGUGACCUUAUUAUUCAGAUGACAGGGGAUCUUAGGUAUUUUGUGUCCCACCCUCAGCAUGGGAACAACCAAUUCGAAAAUGUUAGUGGCAUGAUGACCAUCGACUUCCCAUCUCCAUAUACAAAGGAAGAGCUUCAGGAGGUACACAUAGCCACCAGCAACCACAGCAGAAGGAGCUGAAAAGGGGUGAGGAGGCAGCUUAGGAACCUGUUUCGAGGGUUAUGUUGCUGUCUCCUCGCCCCAAGUAGAGAAGUUUCAACAUCCAGGGUCGAAGAUGAGGCCCAGGUCCGUGAAGCCUAAACCACAGGUCUGUGUUCAGCCUGGUGGGGCACAACACACACUGGAGGGAACCAGGCCAGAACAGAAAAGAGGUGUGCCCCAAACUUCUCAUAUAUGCCAUACAACUCUAGCAACCAGAGAAGAAGCUCUGUAAACAUUCUCCCAUGCAGAGAGGGAGGCUGAAUUUUAUUGGUCUGCAGCUCUCAUGGCUGUACAGUGAAACCAGUCCCUUAGUCACCUGGCCAUGAAGAGGAAUCCAUCCUGCUACUCAGUCCACAUACGAAAAAGGCUGCUGGUCUUGGUAAUUGGGCAUAUGGACCUCUUUGCAAGAUCAGCAAUUUGUCUGGAAAAGAGUUCCUGGGCCACACCUGUAGCCAAGACCAAGUUGCUGUGGUAGUCUACAUUCUUCAACUCUUGUGGCAAUGAUGAUGCAGUGGGUCAUCAUGGUCAUCAUAAUGAGGACUUGACUCUUGAAUAAAUUUUCCCGUGAAACCUGUCCCAGCUGCCCUAGAGCACAAGAUACAGGAACAUGGUAUCCCAGGAAACAUCCUUCAAGUUUUCCUGCCUUGUCCCUCAUGAACAUCUCAUAAAGAUGUGUGAAGAGACUAUUGUGAUCCAUUUCUUUCCCUCAGAAGCUUUUUGGUGGGAGCAGCUUCCUGAACCCAUGUUGGAUAAUUCAUGAUCACCUCACAAGAUGCAUCUGCUGAAGAGCAUGAUUGUCUGAAAGGACAGCAGGAGACUCUCUGUGCUAUCAUCCUGGGAGAGACACAGAACAGCAGCCUUUAGUUUGUUAUAGGAGGCUUGGCCAUAGUACCUCAGUGUUGUGAACCCUGUGUGUGCACUUCAGCCCUGAUAUUCAGACACAAGUCGCUUGGAGAAACUAUAGCAGUGUAACUAUCUCUAUAAUUAAAGCAAGACUUCUCAGGCCUGA